UGGGGACUUCAACUCCAUCUACCAAGUAGGCUAGCUUUCUUUCUUUCUUUCAUGGUACUAGGGAUUGAACCCAGAGCCUUCACACUGAGCUACAUCACUUUUUUUUUUUUUUUGGUACCGGAGAUCAAACGCAGGACCUUGCACUUGCAAGGCAGGCAUGGUGCCACUGAGCUAAAUCCCCGGCCCUCUUUUUUAAAUUGUUUCAUUUUUGAGACAAGUUCUCACUAAGUUGCUAAAUUGCCCGGGCUGGGCUUACAAUUUCCAUCCUCCUGCCUCAGCCCCCAGCGAGCUGGGAUUACAGCUGUGCACCAUGAAGUCUGGCUUUCAGAUGGGCUCUUAAUGAUACACAGCACACUGAGGUCGAGUGGCUUUGCCCAGGCCACACAAGAGCUGGAGAGAGAGCACCGGAGAGCCCCCUCCAGCACAGAGAAAGGAGGAGUCUUUUCAGCCUUGCCAGCCUGUGCCAGCCUCCAGGGCCCCCACCCUUGCCCAACCUGCCAGAAUCUGUGAUCCCUUGUUGGGAUGGGACUGAAUUCCCCAGAGCUGUAGUUCGGGACCUGGCCAGCAACUGCAGUAACCACAGCUGUGUGAGAAGACAAAGCCGAGCCAUUGGAGCAGCCACACUACAAACAGAGGUGAGGUCCCAGCUCCUGUCCUACCCGAGAGGAACCUGGAGAGCUGGGUCCGGAAGCGGCCGGGGGCCUUGGACCCUAAACGUCAAGGCUGGGGGUACUGGCAGGGGCAGUGCCCACCGACUCGGGCCUCGCCACUGGAGCCGCCUGAGGGACUGCGUUUGGCCCCAACGUACCUGGGCCUCCGGAAUGGGCCCCAGGUAGGCUCUGGUUCCCGGAACUCCGCACUGCAGACUUCGGGCGCCCCGAGCUCUCCGCCCGCAUUCUGGGGGGCGCCUGGCCGUGGCACGUGCGCCUCCACCUGGGUCCUCCCCGCGGCUCCGAGGUCCCUGCGCCCCGAGCCGGGUCCUGCGAGAGGUGCCCCGCAUCCGGGCAGAGGCCACGCAGCCCGGCUCCGGCUCCCGCUCCAAGCCAGCCGCCCCAGGCCCCACCCCUGCUCCUCGGGCCCCCUCCCUGCUCCCCGGCUCCGGCGCAGUCCGACCCUAGGGCCCGGCCUCGGCGCAGGAACCGGACCGUGGCGCCGGCCGCCGAGUGGUCUGUGCUGCUGCGCGCGCUCGCGGGGCCGGACAGGGACGCCGCGCAAGCCUGCGCAGUGGCCGCCAUCCUGGUGCCGGGCGACUACAGCAGCGUGGAGCUGGGCGCCGACCUGGCCCUGCUGCGCCUCGCCUCGACAGCCAGGCUGGGCCCCGCCGUGCAUCCGUCGGCCUGCCCCGCGCCGCCCACCGCUUCUUGCCCGGCGCCGCCUGCUGGGCCAACGCCUGGGUGCCGCCCAGGAGGCGGGUUUAGAUCCGACUAGAGUGCCCGGCCCAGCUGUACUUCAGACCAAUCAUUUCACCCAGUACAUUUCCUCCCCUGUAAAGUGGGGUCACCCGGGCGUGGUGGCGCACGCCUCUGGUCCCAGCACUUGGGAGGCUGAGGCAGGAGGAUCACCGCGAGUUCGAGGCCAGCCUGGGCUACAUAGUGAGUUUAAGGCCGCCUUGAACUACAUAAUGAGACCUUAUGGGUAGGUUAAAUGAAAAAAAUCCACCUGCAACUUGUAGCACAGUGCCUAGCAUCGCCAUACUUAAUGUGUUCUGGGCAUGUUUUGUUUUGUUUUGGUACCGGGGAUCGAACUCAGGACUUUGCGCUUGUGGGG
rnacentral:lncRNA from 1 species